GGUGAGUAACACGUGAGUAACCUGCCCCCUUCUUUGGGAUAACGGUCGGAAACGGCUGCUAAUACCGGGUAUUCACUGUCCUUCGCAUGGGGGGUGGUGGAAAGGUUUUUUCUGGUGGGGGAUGGGCUCGCGGCCUAUCAGCUUGUUGGUGGGGUGAUGGCUUACCAAGGCUUUGACGGGUAACCGGCCUGAGAGGGUGACCGGUCACAUUGGGACUGAGAUACGGCCCAGACUCCUACGGGAGGCAGCAGUGGGGAAUAUUGCACAAUGGGCGAAAGCCUGAUGCAGCGACGCCGCGUGAGGGAUGACGGCCUUCGGGUUGUAAACCUCUUUCGCUCAUGGUCAAGCCGCAACAGUGGUUGUGGUGAGGGUAGUGGGUAAAGAAGCACCGGCUAACUACGUGCCAGCAGCCGCGGUAAUACGUAGGGUGCGAGCGUUGUCCGGAAUUAUUGGGCGUAAAGGGCUUGUAGGCGGUUUGUCGCGUCUGCCGUGAAAUCCUCUGGCUUAACUGGGGGCGUGCGGUGGGUACGGGCAGGCUUGAGUGCGGUAGGGGAGACUGGAACUCCUGGUGUAGCGGUGGAAUGCGCAGAUAUCAGGAAGA
rnacentral:rRNA from 1 species